UACGAAGGGGGCUAGCGUUGUUCGGAAUUACUGGGCGUAAAGCGCGCGCAGGCGGUCUUCCAAGUCAGUGGUGAAAGCCCGGAGCUCAACUCCGGAAUUGCCAUUGAAACUGUGAGACUGGAGUACGAGAGAGGUGAGUGGAAUUCCCAGUGUAGAGGUGAAAUUCGUAGAUAUUCGCAAGAACACCAGUGGCGAAGGCGGCUCACUGGCCCGGUACUGACGCUGAGGUGCGAAAGCGUGGGGAGCAAACAGG
rnacentral:rRNA from 1 species